GAUGAACGCUGGCGGCGUGCCUAAUACAUGCAAGUCGAGCGAAGCGGGGACGGGUAAGUAACACGUGGAUAACCUCCUCUAAGACUGGGAUAACUUCGGGAACCCGGAGCUACACCGGAUACUUAUCGAUGUAUCCGCGCUGCAUUAGCUAGUUGGUAAGGUAACGGCUUACCAAGGCAACGAUGCAUAGCCGACCUGAGAGGGUGAUCGGCCACAAUGGAACUGAGAAACGGUCCAGACUCCUACGGGAGGCAGCAGUAGGGAAUCGUACGCAAUGGGCGAAAGCCUGACGGAGCAACGCCGCGUGAGUGAUGAAGGUCUUCGGAUCGUAAAACUCGGUUAUUAGGGAAGCGGUACCUAAUCAGAAAGCCACGGCUAACUACGUGCCAGCCGCCGCGGUAAUUC
rnacentral:rRNA from 1 species